ACUGAUACUCUGUAUCGUAUUGCCAAGGCUUCAAAGAAGACACAGGGACUGCCUCCUAAAAGGACUAAAGUGCUUUUCACAAGAGAGGAGAUUGAGGCUGUACUCAAAGAUAUUCACGGCCAGGGCACGACUGGAGGUCACAUGGGAGAGAAAGGAACUCAGGCUAACAUCGCUGAUCGUUUCUACUGGCAAAGCAUUACAGAAGAUGUUUAACACUGGAUAUCCACAUGCCCCCAAUGCCAGAAGGUGCACAAGAUAAAGACAAUAGUGCCUGAGCUGACACCUAUUUAUGCCAGACAGCCAUGGGAACUUGUUGGCAUUGACUUAGUUGGACCUUUCACUGAGACCAACCUUGGCCACAAGUAUGUAGUGACAGCAACUUGCCUGUUCUCGAAGUGGGUGGAGGCUGAACCAGUCUGUGACUAGUCGGCUGACAGUGUAUUACAGGCCUUGAAAAAGUGGAUCCACCGCUGGGGGGCCCCACUGAAGAUCAUCACAGAUCAAGGCAAAGAAUUUAACAACAAGAAACUGAACGAACAGAUCUGUGAGAAGUUUGGUAUUCGCCACCUGGUGACAGCAGCUUACUACCCACAAACCAACGGCCAAGACGAGCGUACAAAUGGGUCUUUGAAACGCCAUCUUU